AACGAACGCUGGCGGCAGGCUUAACACAUGCAAGUCGAACGGGCGCAGCAAUGCGUCAGUGGCAGACGGGUGAGUAACGCGUGGGAACGUGCCCUUCGGUUCGGAAUAACUCAGGGAAACUUGAGCUAAUACCGGAUACGUGCGAGAGCAGAAAGAUUUAUCGCCGAAGGAUCGGCCCGCGUCCGAUUAGCUAGUUGGUGAGGUAACGGCUCACCAAGGCGACGAUCGGUAGCUGGUCUGAGAGGAUGAUCAGCCACACUGGGACUGAGACACGGCCCAGACUCCUACGGGAGGCUG
rnacentral:rRNA from 1 species